UUGAACGCUGGCGGCAUGCCUUACACAUGCAAAGUCGAACGGCAGCACGGGAGCAAUCCUGGUGGCGAGUGGCGAACGGGUGAGUAAUACAUCGGAACGUGCCCAGUAGUGGGGGAUAACUGCUCGAAAGAGCAGCUAAUACCGCAUACGACCUGAGGGUGAAAGCGGGGGAUCGCAAGACCUCGCGCUAUUGGAGCGGCCGAUGCCAGAUUAGCUAGUUGGUGGGGUAAAGGCCUACCAAGGCAACGAUCUGUAGUUGGUCUGAGAGGACGACCAGCCACACUGGGACUGAGACACGGCCCAGACUCCUACGGGAGGCAGCAGUGGGGAAUUUUGGACAAUGGGCGCAAGCCUGAUCCAGCCAUGCCGCGUGAGUGAAGAAGGCCUUCGGGUUGUAAAGCUCUUUCGGCCGGAAAGAAAUCGCAUGGGUUAAUACCCUGUGUGGAUGACGGUACCGGAAUAAGAAGCACCGGCUAACUACGUG
rnacentral:rRNA from 1 species